rnacentral:misc_RNA from 1 species
AAUCUCGGGUUUUUGAAGUGGUGCAUCACGUUCUCUUUCCUUCCCGUGAAGAAAUUGUCCACCACGAUCACGCUGUCACCUCUUUCGAUCAGACGGUCCACCAAGUGUGACCCAACAAACCCAGCCCCACCGGUAACCACUAUUCUCAAACCCUUACGUUUUAACCCCAACGGAAUCUUCCCUCCCGAAUUCAUCGACCCGAAAGCUGCCACAUGAGGUUCGUAGAAUUUGUAUGUCGUUGACGCUGACUCGCGAGAGAUGUGAGCGAGGGAGUCGGGGAUCUGCUCAUAUUUGUGGUGGUGAACAUACGGAUUCCUAGAAGACGAAGGAAGGAUGGUGAAGAAAAGGGUGGCAA